rnacentral:rRNA from 1 species
CCAGUUUGAUUCUGACUGAAAUAUUAACUAAUACUAACCAAUAUACAUGUAAAUAAUAUUAGCCCCGCACCAAAUAUAAUCUAAAAGAUUCUAUAAUUAUAUUAAGCUAAAACUUCAUAUAACAGAGCGCCACAGUAAAUAACACUUUUCAAUGUGAGAAAUCAAGAAAAGAGUAUGGUAUAAGGGUUGGCAAAAUUCGUGCCAGCUGCCGCGGUUAGACGAUAAACCCAAGUUAAUACAAUAUAAACUAAAUUAACGAUAAGCUAAACAAUAACAAAAGUCUAAUUUUUAAUAUUCUCGACCCAAAAUUAUCCAAUAAAAAUGAAACCAUGAACUAAAACAUGGAUUAGAUACCCAUCUAUUCAUGAUAUAAAUAACAGUUGAAUAUUACGAACAACAGUUUAAAAUUCAAAGACUUUGGCGGUGUCUUAUAAAACCAGGGGAACCUGUCUCAUAACUCGAUAAUCCACGAAUACUCAACCAUGUCUUGAUUUUCAGCAUGUGUACUGCCGUUGUAAGCAUACCUCUAAAAGAACAAAGUGUGCUACUAUGAUUAACCAUCACUCAUAUACAUCAGGUCAAAGUGCAGCUAAUGAUAUGGUGACGAUGGGUUACAACCCCAAAAUAGACUAUCAAAUAAGAAAUAAAAAACCUUACAAAAGUGGACUUGGCUGUAAUUAAUUUACAAGUUAAUAAAAUGAAUAAAAAUCUAAGACAUGCACACAUCGCCCGUCACUCUACCCUAAAGGUUAGAUAAGUCGUAACAAAGUAGGUGUAAUGGAAAUUGUACCUGU